UGCAACAGUCCUUAAUAUAAACUUUCCCUAAAAGACGAUGCUUUCACAAAACAAUGCCAUGAAUCACCUCAAUACCAAACAUACUGUGUUAUUUGGGCCAUUUGUCCAACCUGAAAAAUGUCCUGCUAUCAAAAACUCUCCCAGCAUGCAAUGCAGUCCAGUAGAUUUAACGGGUAGAUGGUUUGCAUUCGUCUUUAAUACUUUAAACGUGGUUCGCCUAAAGAAUUAUUCAUAUGUUCCUCUCUCGUCAUGUCUUUUCUAGGUGUUUUUCUUUUGUGUGCCUGUAUGGCAAUGGCAACUUUGGUUGUGUUUCAUUGUGUCCUAUUAGUGUUUUACACAAUGUUGUUGUGUGAUUCAUUGGUGCGCUCUGUCUAUAUGUCGUCCUUUAAGGCAAAGUGUACUUGUGAUGAAUGGCAACGGAGUGAUUAACAUUCUUCAAACCGGGUGAGGAACCUAAAUUAUAAACAAAAUGUCAUAUGCUUUGAUAAAUAAAACAUGUGUACAGCUGUGUUGGAUCACAAAACACUGGGACCCGUAGAGACGAUGCUAUGACAUUUGAAACAAUACUCUUACUAAAAGCAAAAGGCGAAAAGGCAAAAUUAAAAAUGAGGUUUAAAAAUCAUGCAGUAAGAGCUGAUUAACGUUUAAGCUGUGCAUCCCCAAAAAGUGGGACACGUUGCAGCACAAAUGGAAGCCGUUGCUGCGGGCAGAAAAGUGCCUUCAGGGUGCUUUCAGUGUCACACAUUAUCAGCCGGCUCGCAUGAAGCCUGGGAAGUCAAACUGUGUGAUGCCAAUUUGGAGGCGUGUCAGCUGGUGUGAUGAAUGUCAGGUGAAUGACGACGCCAGGAAGGGAACGGCAGAGAAAAAUGGUUGUUUGGUGCCACCGGUGUAUUCUCUGUCAUUUCAUGUUCUGGUUUUGUUGAUGUGUAAAUGUGGGCAACGUGGGGCGACAAUCACAUCCAGAGUCUUUGGUCCGUCAUAUCUGAAGCAUUCAGGGUUUUCAUGCGUUCUGUUCUUUGGUCACUGUGGCUCUAAAAUGUUGUGUUCUCACAAUGAGAUGUGAGGUUGAUUUGGCAGCUGUGUCUUUAAUAUAUUUGGACAAUUCUUUCAAUCUAACAUGCGAUUUGUAUCUUUCAAUAUCGAACUCUUUGUUUCAGGGUUACACACCUAUUGGCGACCGUCGAACGUGUUAACGGUAAUUCUAAAAGAAAAUGUUCAUGCCGAAGCUUUUGAACAGCGCCGUGGUGACAUGGACACAAGCAAUGCGUCGCCCUGCGAAGGCCACCUGCCGUCCCGCGCUCAUCUGUGGAGCGCUGCCGUGUGACAGAUCCAUGGCCCGACGCCCAGAACUCUGCUGCCCCGUCCCGGGACUCCACCUGUCCGUCCCAGCCUGCCCGGGCUGUAACCUCUACAGACCCUUCCCAAAGUCUGCACAGCUGCGCACAAACAGCGUUGCACUGUUGCACUACUACUACUAAGGCAUUUCCCACUUCACGUAUUUUAAGCACAUGUGUAACGUCGUUCUCAUUCCCAACCCGUUACAAAUACCUGCUGCGGUUUUGGGUAAAGUAGGGAUGUCUAUUACUUUAACAAGACAAAGGUUAACAUGAACGGUCCCGUACUUGUGCGAACCCCCCCCCAUCCGCGCCGAAGUCCUUCUGAUGCAGACUUAACCCUACUGCCUCGGCGUGAAAAGAAUGUGUAGCGAUAACACCCGAACUGACUUAACGAAACGUGUUACCCUCGCACCAUUUGGUGAGAUCAGGCUGCACAGCGGCAUCGCGUUCGCUCUUGUUGACGUUCAAGUUAUGUAACUUGUGGCACACUUCUGAUCCAUCUGUGACUACAGUAAAGUGCAUUCUCGGGUGGAUACUUCCGACCGCUGUCGCCUCAAUGCCAGCUUUGUUUACAGAGUAUUUUUGUGGAAUUAAGUUUUUUUUUCCCUCCUUUGAUUGUGUCACCUUCGCCAAAGACGGAAAACGUGUGAGUGCACGUCUGAAAAGAGUGCUGAGCGGAUGCAUCUGGAUGUUAAUGUAGGACGUGUUACAGAAAGAUGCAACACAUUUCUCACCUGCUUCAGCAGCACAGAAUACACCUUAUUAUAAUUCGAACAUGCACUUUUAUUCAGGACCACCAGAUAGAAAUGUGUGAUCACGCGAGUGGACUCUCACAUACACUCACAAUUAUUUAAUCAUGAAUGACACACCGUUUCUUUUGGUAAACAUGUGAAGUGUUUAGCCUCGUGCUGGGAGAAGAUAAUUUAGUGAACAACCUCGCACAUCUCUAGUUCUUUGCACCGUGACACACCAGACACAAUGACUGAAAAUCCUCUGGCCGAACAUGCUUGUUGGGUCAUUGCGAGCUGCAGCCUUGUUAGCCUGCACUGCAUCGCCAGCCGGUAGCAGACGGACCAGCAUGAACGUCGUGAGGUGAGAUGUGGCACCUCACGGAGUGAUUACUGGUUUUACUCCAAAGACAUAUCACAGCACCACUCACCUUGAUUUAUCUGUUAUUUUGGCUUUUAAACAAGAGCGGGAC
ensembl:lncRNA